rnacentral:rRNA from 1 species
GCCUAACACAUGCAAGUCGAGCGAGAAACCAUCGAUUGAAACUUCGGUAGAUAUUGAAGGCGGAAAGCGGCGGACGGGUGAGUAACGCGUAGGCAACCUGCCCUUUGCAGAGGGAUAGCAACGGGAAACUGUUAUUAAAACCUCAUAAUACCGUAAUGUCAAAUGAUGAAACGGCCAAAGAUUUAUCGGCAAAGGAUGGGCCUGCGUCUGAUUAGUUAGUUGGUAGGGUAAACGGGCCUACCAAGGCAGCGAUCAGUAGCCGACCUGAGAGGGUGAUCGGCCACAUUGGAACUGAGACACGGUCCAAACUCCUACGGGAGGCAGCAGUGGGGAAUAUUGCACAAUGGGCGAAAGCCUGAUGCAGCAACGCCGCGUGAAGGAUGAAGGCCUUUGGAUCGUAAACUUCUGUCCUUGGGGAAGAAAAAAUGACGGUACCCCUGGAGGAAGUCCCGGCUAACUACGUG